GGAUGCGAUCAUACCAGCACUAAAACACCGGAUCCCAUCAGAACUCCGAAGUUAAGCAUGCUUGGGCGAGAGUAGUACUAGGAUGGGUGACCUCCUGGGAAGUCCUCGUGUUGCAUUCC
rnacentral:rRNA from 1 species